rnacentral:rRNA from 1 species
AUUGAACGCUGGCGGCAGGACUAACACAUGCAAGUCGCACGAGUGGCGGACGGGUGAGGAAUGUCUGGGAAACUGAACGAUGGAGGGGGAUCACUACUGGAAACGGUAGCUAAUACCGCAUACCAUCGGAUGUGCCAAGAUGGGAUUAGCUUGUAGGUGAGGUAACGGCUCACCUCGGCGACGAUACCUAGCUGGUCUGAGCAGAUGACCAGCCACACGUGAACUACGACACGGUCCAGACGCCUACGGGAGGCAGCUGUGGGGAAUAUUGAACAAUGGGCGCAAGACGGAGGCAGUCAUGCCGCGUGUAUGAAGAAGGCCUUCGGGUUGUAAAGUACUUUCAGCGGUGAGGCGUUACCCGCAGAAGAAGCACCGGCGAACUCAGUGCCAGCAGCCGCGGUAAUAC